GGACGAGAAGCUUGCUUCUCUGAUGUUAGCGGCGGACGGGUGAGUAACACGUGGAUAACCUACCUAUAAGACUGGGAUAACUUCGGGAAACCGGAGCUAAUACCGGAUAAUAUUUUGAACCGCAUGGUUCAAAAGUGAAAGACGGUCUUGCUGUCACUUAUAGAUGGAUCCGCGCUGCAUUAGCUAGUUGGUAAGGUAACGGCUUACCAAGGCAACGAUGCAUAGCCGACCUGAGAGGGUGAUCGGCCACACUGGAACUGAGACACGGUCCAGACUCCUACGGGAGGCAGCAGUAGGGAAUCUUCCGCAAUGGGCGAAAGCCUGACGGAGCAACGCCGCGUGAGUGAUGAAGGUCUUCGGAUCGUAAAACUCUGUUAUUAGGGAAGAACAUAUGUGUAAGUAACUGUGCACAUCUUGACGGUACCUAAUCAGAAAGCCACGGCUAACUACGUGCCAGCAGCCGCGGUAAUACGUAGGUGGCAAGCGUUAUCCGGAAUUAUUGGGCGUAAAGCGCGCGUAGGCGGUUUUUUAAGUCUGAUGUGAAAGCCCACGGCUCAACCGUGGAGGGUCAUUGGAAACUGGAAAACUUGAGUGCAGAAGAGGAAAGUGGAAUUCCAUGUGUAGCGGUGAAAUGCGCAGAGAUAUGGAGGAACACCAGUGGCGAAGGCGACUUUCUGGUCUGUAACUGACGCUGAUGUGCGAAAGCGUGGGGAUCAAACAGGAUUAGAUACCCUGGUAGUCCACGCCGUAAACGAUGAGUGCUAAGUGUUAGGGGGUUUCCGCCCCUUAGUGCUGCAGCUAACGCAUUAAGCACUCCGCCUGGGGAGUACGACCGCAAGGUUGAAACUCAAAGGAAUUGACGGGGACCCGCACAAGCGGUGGAGCAUGUGGUUUAAUUCGAAGCAACGCGAAGAACCUUACCAAAUCUUGACAUCCUUUGACAACUCUAGAGAUAG
rnacentral:rRNA from 1 species